rnacentral:rRNA from 1 species
UACGUAGGGGGCAAGCGUUGUCCGGAAUCAUUGGGCGUAAAGAGCGUGUAGGCGGUUCGGUAAGUCGGCUGUGAAAGUCCAGGGCUCAACCCUGGGAUGCCGGUCGAUACUGCCGGACUAGAGUUCGGAAGAGGCGAGUGGAAUUCCCGGUGUAGCGGUGAAAUGCGCAGAUAUCGGGAGGAACACCUAUGGCGAAGGCAGCUCGCUGGGACGUUACUGACGCUGAGACGCGAAAGCGUGAGGAGCAAACAGG